rnacentral:lncRNA from 1 species
CCCGCCUAGUCUUCGACGCCUUCGACACCUCUGUAGAUGCCAACAUCGAUAUCCCUUCAACGCUUUUACGAAUCCUCGAUCUCUCCAGCGAUGACAAACUCACAGAAGCAUCGCGUUCUCCACCCUUCUUCGACUCUUGAACCGCUUCGUCACUCCCAUAAUCGAAAUUCCUCAUCGCUCCGAAAAUCAUUACCUCCCUUCCAUUCCUUGUGAACUUCGUCUUUACCAUCUCUACAAGAGAAAUCCCCA